GGGGGCCACUCGCCAUGCACAGCUUCUCUCAGCAGAGGUUGGUGAACCAUACUCCAACAGAAAGGGGACAUAAGACUGGCUCUGCUGGAGUGAGGAAGCUGACUGAGGGAAGAACCAGAAGGCUGCCAAAAUACAAUUGUGUGCCUUUAAAGGAAAUAACAACAAGAAUUAGGAGCGCCCUGGAGGCAAGGUCUGCUGCUGGGGAAACCAAACCACAGUAACUUCAGAAAUAUAUACUUGGAAUAUGUCAUGUAUUAAUGGGUAAAGACACCGUGGAUAUGAAGGAAAUCACCUAUGGGAGAAUAUUAAGAAGAGAAGAAGGGGCUGCUGGCUGUAGUGAAAUGUAUAAAAAGGAGAGUGUGAUCCUAGUUUCUGUCUCUAACUAUGAGUUACUUGUGAUUAACUUCAAAUAUUCUCUCCAUAAGAAGAGGCCCAGAAGAAGAAGAUGAGCUUCAGUUAUUCUAGCACAACUGCUGUGAUAUUUGUAAAUAUUCAAAACCUAUAAUAAAAUGUAUAAAAGGAAACUCCAUUUGAAAUGAUUUGAAAUCUCACAUGGAAAUCUAUUUUUUUUAAAUCAGAGCUUAGUAAGAGAAAAUAACAGAACAUUGUAAUAAUUGAAUUACAAAAACAACUGAAUUUUGGAAAAUUUAUUUUCUCUCAUGUGAUGUGUGUGUAUGUGUGUGUGUGUGUGUGUGUAUCUAUUUAGCAAUGGCGUUAUUCUAUCAAAUGGGAUUAGAUUCAUUUUUGACUCCUGCUAAGCACCCUGUCCCCCCAACCCCAAGAUUAUGAAAGCGGAAGGGAAGGGGGAGAUAGGAAAUAUGACUUAUUUAAACUGUAUAAAAAUGCUGAAAUAAAAUGAACAUUCAAAACUCAUGUGAUUGAAUUUAAUCUUUCUUUUGUUCAACACAUUCAC
rnacentral:lncRNA from 10 species